GUGUAUAUUUCAUAAUGUGUCCUUAGAUGACCACUAACCUGGAUCCACUGAAGAGGAGUGUGAUACACAUGGGAGUAGACUCCAUGCUGUGAUGUGAUUUGUCCAUGAUGAAUGUGAUCUCUAUUAAUAUUUGACUAUGAGUGGGUGAGUUUACACAAACGGCUUGGUAUAAAGGUUUAAUGUUUUUAGCUCUGUCUACAGAGUUGGACAUCAUUGGACAUUUGUUCGAAACAGGAAUCAGGAAUAAUGAAACACAGUGUGGUAUUUCUUUUGCUGCUCGUCUCGGGGACGUGCUCAGUUUACAGUAAGUAAGUAGAGUGAACCUGGCACUCCAAGGAGAAGCCUCACAGUCAUCAGUGUAUCAGGGUGCCGUUGCAUCUAAUGCCAUUAAUGGGAA